rnacentral:rRNA from 1 species
UACGUAGGGUGCGAGCGUUAAUCGGAAUUACUGGGCGUAAAGCGUGCGCAGGCGGUUUUGUAAGUCUGUCGUGAAAUCCCCGGGCUCAACCUGGGAAUUGCGAUGGAGACUGCAAGGCUAGAAUCUGGCAGAGGGGGGUAGAAUUCCACGUGUAGCAGUGAAAUGCGUAGAGAUGUGGAGGAACACCGAUGGCGAAGGCAGCCCCCUGGGUCAAAGAUUGGACGCUCAUGCACGAAAGGCGUGGGGAGCA